rnacentral:rRNA from 1 species
CGACGCUCUUCCGAUCUGGGUGGAUGCCUUGGCACUAAGAGCCGAUGAAAGACGUGAUAAGCUGCGAAAAGCUGCGGGGAGGAGCAAAUAUCCACUGAUCCGCAGAUGUCUGAAUGGGGAAACCCGCAUGAGCACACCUCAUGCAUCCAUACGCCAAUCCAUAACGUAUGGAGGGGAACCGCCUGAACUGAAACAUCUAAGUAGGGCGAGGAAGAGAAAGAAAAUUUAUCGAUUUCCAAAGUAGCGGCGAGCGAAAUGGAAAGAGGCCAAACCGGAGUGCGUGCACUCCGGGGUUCGGACCGCAUUUAAGAUCUGAUGAUCCUAGCAGAAAGGUUUUGGGAAAGCCUGCCGGAGAGGGUGAAAGCCCCGUAAGCGAAAGGAAAGCCAGCUGAGCGGUAUCCAGAGUACAUCGAGACACGAGAAACCUUGAUGGAAUGAGCGGGGACCACCCCGUAAGCCUAAAUACUCCUUAGUGACCGAUAGCGCAUAGUACUGUGAAGGAAAGGUGAAAAGGACCCCGGGAGGGGAGUGAAAGAGAACCUGAAACCCUGUGUUUACAAGCUGUGGGACAUCUUUACAUGAUGAACCGCGUACUUUUUGUAGAACGGUCCGGCGAGUUGCGGAUGCCGGCAAGGUUAAGCACUUAAGGUGUGGAGCCGAAGGGAAACCAAGUCUGAAGAGGGCGUAUAUAGUCAGUAUCCGCAGACCCGAAACCGGGUGAUCUACCCAUGUCCAGGUUGAAGUUGCCGUAAAAGGCAAUGGAGGACCGAACGCACAUCCGUUGAAAAGGGUGGCGAUGAGGUGUGGGUAGGGGAGAAAUUCCAAUCGAACCCGGAGAUAGCUGGUUCUCCUCGAAAUAGCUUUAGGGCUAGCCUCGUUUUAGUCUUAUGGAGGUAGAGCACUGAAUUUCCGCGGGGGCGUCAAAGCUUACCAAAGAAUAUCAAACUCCGAAUGCCAUGUAGAUGAUGAACGGGAGUCAGACUGCACGAGAUAAGUUGGGCAGUCAAAAGGGAAAGAGCCCAGACCGCCAGCUAAGGUCCCAAAGUGUGUGUUAAGUGGAAAAGGAUGUGGGAUCUCCAAGACAACUAGGAUGUUGGCUCAGAAGCAGCCACACAUUCAAAGAGUGCGUAACAGCUCACUAGUCGAGAGGUCCUGCGCCGAAAAUGUCCGGGGCUGAAACACAACACCGAAGCUGCGGAAUUGCGAAUGCAAUUGGUAGAGGAGCAUUCUUAAUACCGACGAAGCUGUACCGGAAGGAGCAGUGGAGGGAUAAGAAGAGAGAAUGCCGGAAUGAGUAGCGAGAGAGAGGUGGGAAUCCUCUCGGCCGAAUAUCCAAGGUUUCCAGAGUAAAGCUGAUCUGCUCUGGGUAAGUCGGGGCCUAAGGCGAGGUCAAAAGACGUAGCCGAUGGACAACAGGUUUAGAUUCCUGUACCGCAUAUAAACAGAACUGUGGGGACGCAUGGGGAGAGCAUGGGCCGGGAAUGGAAAUACCGGUGCAAGCGAAGGAGGUGUGCAGCCGGCAAAUCCGCUGCAUGAGCCGAAAGCGUGACGCGGAGCGAAAUGAAAGUAGCGAAGCAUGUGAGCCCUGUGCCGAGAAAAGCCGCUAUAGCUUUAUAUGUGCCCGUACCGUAAACCGACACAGGUGGAUGAGGAGAGAAUCCUAAGGCCGGCGGAAGAAGUAUUGUUAAGGAACUCGGCAAAAUGACCCCGUAACUUCGGGAGAAGGGGUGCCCACGGGAGUGGGCCGCAGAGAAUAGGCUCAAGCAACUGUUUAGCAAAAACACAGGUCUAUGCGAAACCGAAAGGUGAAGUAUAUGGGCUGACGCCUGCCCGGUGCUGGAAGGUUAAGAGGAGAGGUUAGCGCAAGCGAAGCUUUGAAUUUAAGCCCCAGUAAACGGCGGCCGUAACUAUAACGGUCCUAAGGUAGCGAAAUUCCUUGUCGGGUAAGUUC